UACGUAGGGUGCAAGCGUUGUCCGGAAUUAUUGGGCGUAAAGAGCUCGUAGGCGGCUUGUCGCGUCGGCUGUGAAAACCCGGGGCUCAACCCCGGGCCUGCAGUCGAUACGGGCAGGCUAGAGUCCGGCAGGGGAGACUGGAAUUCCUGGUGUAGCGGUGAAAUGCGCAGAUAUCAGGAGGAACACCGGUGGCGAAGGCGGAUCUCUGGGCCUGUUCUGACGCUGAGGCGCGAAAGCUAGGGGAGCGAACAGG
rnacentral:rRNA from 1 species